rnacentral:rRNA from 1 species
UACGUAGGGGGCAAGCGUUGUCCGGAAUCAUUGGGCGUAAAGAGCGUGUAGGCGGCCAGAAAAGUCCGCUGUGAAAACUCGAGGCUCAACUUCGAGCUGUCGGUGGAAACUUUCUGGCUAGAGUCCGGAAGAGGAGAAUGGAAUUCCCGGUGUAGCGGUGAAAUGCGCAGAUAUCGGGAGGAACACCGGUGGCGAAGGCGGUUCUCUGGGCCUGACCUGACGCUGAGGAGCGAAAGCGUGGGGAGCGAACAGG